rnacentral:rRNA from 1 species
UGGGGAAUAUUGCACAAUGGAGGGAACUCUGAUGCAGCGACGCCGCGUGAACGAAGAAGGCUUUCGAGUCGUAAUGUUCUUUUAUAUGGGAAGAUAAUGACGGUACCAUAAGAAGAAGCCCCGGCUAACUACGUGCCAGCAGCCGCGGUAAUACGUAGGGGGCUAGCGUUGUCCGGAAUCACUGGGCGUAAAGGGUUCGCAGGCGGAAAUGCAAGUCAGGUGUAAAAGGCAGUAGCUUAACUACUGUAAGCAUUUGAAACUGCAUAUCUUGAGAAGAGUAGAGGUAAGUGGAAUUUUUAGUGUAGCGGUGAAAUGCGUAGAUAUUAAAAAGAAUACCGGUGGCGAAGGCGACUUACUGGGCUCAUUCUGACGCUGAGGAACGAAAGCGUGGGUAGCAAACAGG